UUUCCAAGUGGCGCCAGAGAGGAGAGAGAGAGAGYCUGUCUCUCUCUCAAAAAGGGGGCCAACAACAAACGAGWGAGUGACACUCUCUCUAUCUGCCCUUCACUCUGGGACAAGCCCUGGAAACGGGGUCUAAUACCGGAUAAUACUCCUGCCUGCAUGGGCGGGAGUUGAAAGCUCCGGCGGUGAAGGAUGAGCCCGCGGCCUAUCAGCUUUGUUGGGGGGGGUAAUGGCCCACCAAGGCGACGACGGGUGAGCCGGCCUUAGAGGGCGACCGGCCACACUGUGACUGAGACACGGCCCAGACUCCUACGGGGAGGCAGGUAGUUGGGGAAUAUUGCACAGUUGGGCCAAAGGCCCUGAUGCAGCGACGCCGCGUUGAAGGCAUGACCGGCCCUUCGGGUUUGUAAAACCUCUUUCAGGCAGCGGAAAGAAAGCGAAAAAGGUGGACCGGGUCACCUUGCAAAAAGUAAAGCGCCCGGGCUUAACUUCCGUGCCCAUCCAUCCCGCGCGUACUU
rnacentral:rRNA from 1 species